GGGGCUGCACUGGUUUCGACGUGGGUUCGGACGCGCAGCAGGGCAUGUCGAGGUUCUGUCACCUCGUAAAGCAACAGAAAAAACCAACUGCAAACGACGAACGUUUCGCACUCGCCGCUUAAUCAGCGGUGAGCCUUGCAACAGCAGGCCGAUGGGCUGGGCAAGGGGGUCGCAAGACCUCCCGGCUGCAAGGAUAAUUUCAUCGGCUGGCUUUGCGUCGGGCACCUUGGCGCAGGGCGAGACUCAAGGAUGCUGGCUUCCCGUUUAGCGUGCCACUGCGCGACUCGGGCGGCGAGACUCAAAUCAGACGGCUACACAUGUAGAACUGCUCGAAGAAGGCUUGCGGACGGGGGUUCAAAUCCCCCCAGCUCCACCA
rnacentral:tmRNA from 1 species